rnacentral:ncRNA from 1 species
AUAAAAGCGAUGAUAAGAAGUAGUAAUAAUUAUAUGAGGUAAACAGAAAGUAACCGGUUGAUGAGAGGUGCAAACUAAGUUGAUUAUGAAUUCAUCUUUGAGCUUCACACUGAAGGGCAUAGCUUGGUAGGAUGUGACGUGAUAACACACGUUAUAGUGUUAGGGUAUUCCAAGGAGUACUUAUUGAGGCAAAUAAUGUGAGUUAUUUGCAAACUAAGGUGGUAACGCGAGAAAAGCUCUCGUCCUUUUA